GACGAACGCUGGCGGCGUGCUUAACACAUGCAAGUCGAACGGAAAGGCCCUGCUUUUGUGGGGUGCUCGAGUGGCGAACGGGUGAGUAACACGUGAGUAACCUGCCCUUGACUUUGGGAUAACUUCAGGAAACUGGGGCUAAUACCGGAUAGGAGCUCCUGCUGCAUGGUGGGGGUUGGAAAUUUUCGGCGGUUGGGGAUGGAUUCGCGGCUUAUCAGCUUGUUGGUGGGGUAGUGGCUUACCAAGGCUUUGACGGGUAGCCGGCCUGAGAGGGGGACCGGCCACAUUGGGACUGAGAUACGGACCAGACUCCUACGGGAGGCAGCAGUGGGGAAUAUUGCCCAAUGGGCGGAAGCCUGAUGCAGAAACGCCGCGUGCGGGAUGACGGCCUUCGGGUUGUAAACCGCUUUCGCCUGUGACGAAGCGUGAGUGACGGUAAUGGGUAAAGAAGCACCGGCUAACUACGUG
rnacentral:rRNA from 1 species